rnacentral:rRNA from 1 species
AGAAUCAACGCUGGCGGCGUGCCUAACACAUGCAAGUCGAACGAGAAAGUGGAGCAAUCCAUGAGUAAAGUGGCGCACGGGUGAGUAACACGUGACUAACCUACCUUUUAGUGGGGGGAUAACCUAGGGAAACCUGGGCUAAUACCGCAUAACACUUACGAGUCAAAGCAGCAAUGCGCUGAAAGAGGGGGUCGCGGCCGAUUAGCUAGUUGGCGGGGUAAUGGCCCACCAAGGCAGUGAUCGGUAUCCGGCCUGAGAGGGCGCACGGACACACUGGAACUGAAACACGGUCCAGACUCCUACGGGAGGCAGCAGUGGGGAAUUUUGCGCAAUGGGGGAAACCCUGACGCAGCAACGCCGCGUGGAGGAUGAAGUCCCUUGGGACGUAAACUCCUUUCGAUCGGGACGAUAAUGACGGUACCGGAAGAAGAACGCCCCGGCUAACUUCGUGCCAGCAGCCGC